rnacentral:rRNA from 1 species
AGCCGCCGCGGGAAUACGGAGGGUGCAAGCGUUACUCGGAAUCACUGGGCGUAAAGGACGCGUAGGCGGAUUAUCAAGUCUCUUGUGAAAUCUAACGGCUUAACCGUUAAACUGCUUGGGAAACUGAUAAUCUAGAGUAAGGGAGAGGCAGAUGGAAUUCUUGGUGUAGGGGUAAAAUCCGUAGAGAUCAAGAAGAAUACCCAUUGCGAAAGCGAUCUGCUGGAACUUAACUGACGCUAAUGCGUGAAAGCGUGGGGAGCAAACGGGAUUAGAUACCCGUGUAGUCCCUGUCUCUUAUACA